rnacentral:rRNA from 1 species
UACGAAGGGGGCUAGCGUUGUUCGGAAUCACUGGGCGUAAAGGGCGCGUAGGCGGCUGUUCAAGUCGGGGGUGAAAGCCCGUGGCUCAACCACAGAAUGGCCUCGAUACUGGACGGCUCGAGACCGGAAGAGGUCAGUGGAACUGCGAGUGUAGAGGUGAAAUUCGAUAGAUAUUCGCAAGAACACCAGUGGCGAAGGCGGCUGACUGGUCCGGUUCUGACGCUGAGGCGCGAAAGCGUGGGGAGCAAACAGG